rnacentral:rRNA from 1 species
AUACGGAGGGUCCAAGCGUUAUCCGGAUUCAUUGGGUUUAAAGGGUCCGCAGGCGGGAAAAUAAGUCAGUGGUGAAAGCCUACAGCUCAACAGUAGAACUGCCAUUGAUACUGUUUUUCUUGAGUAUAGAUGAAGUGGGCGGAAAUAUCAUGUAGCGGUGAAAUGCAUAGAUAUGAUAUAGAACACCGAUUGCGAAGGCAGCUCACUAAACUAUUACUGACGCUCAGGGACGAAAGCGUGGGGAGCGAACAGGAUUAGAUACCCCAGUAGUCC